rnacentral:rRNA from 1 species
AUUGAACGCUGGCGGCAGGCCUAACACAUGCAAGUCGAGCGGAGCGGCGGAAGGGGGAGUAAGGCCUAGGAAUCUGCCUGGUAGUGGGGGAUAACUUCAGGAGACGGGAGCUAAGACAGCAUGCUAUCAGAUGAGUCUAGGUUGGAUGAGCUAGUUGGGGGGGUAACGGACUACCUAGGUGACGAUCCCUAACUGGUCUGAGAGGAUGAUCAGUCACACUGGAACUGAGACACGGUCCAGACUCCUACGGGAGGCAGCAGUGGGGAAUAUUGGACAAUGGGCGAAAGCCUGAUCCAGCCAUGCCGCGUGUGUGAAGAAGGUCUUCGGAUUGUAAAGCACUUUAAGUUGGGAGGCGUUACCUACCGAAUAAGCACCGGCUAACUUCGUGCCAGCAGCCGCGGUAAUAC